rnacentral:rRNA from 1 species
GCCAGACUCCUACGGGAGGCAGCAGUGAGGAAUAUUGGUCAAUGGGCGGAAGCCUGAACCAGCCAAGUCGCGUGAGGGAUUAAGGCCCUGCGGGUCGUAAACCUCUUUUGCCGGGGAGCAGAGGUCCGGACGUGUCCGGGCCGGGAGAGUACCCGGAGAAAAAGCAUCGGCUAACUCCGUGCCAGCAGCCGCGGUAAUACGGAGGAUGCGAGCGUUAUCCGGAUUUAUUGGGUUUAAAGGGUGCGCAGGCGGAUUUUUAAGUCAGCGGUCAAAUCGUGGGGCUCAACCCCAUCCAGCCGUUGAAACUGGGGAUCUAGAGUGUGCGAGAGGUAUGCGGAAUGCGUGGUGUAGCGGUGAAAUGCAUAGAUAUCACGCAGAACUCCGAUUGCGAAGGCAGCAUACCGGCGCCCAACUGACGCUGAAGCACGAAAGCGUGGGUAUCGAACAGGAUUAGAUACCCCUGUAUG